CCGAGUCCCAACCUCGCCUUCUCUGAAACCUAACCCCGAAUCCUGCCUCCUCCCCAAUUUUACUUCUCUGAAACCCCCCCACAGCGAUGGGGAAAGACGAAGAGAACAACGGUUUGAUGAGAAAUACUAAUUGGGGAAAGAGCAUGGCUACAGAUCUAUAGCCGCAGGGAAGCUGGUUCAACUUGAUUACUAGUUCGGAAUUUUUCGCUCCGCUAAUUCGUGCUCGAUCUCUGCGCCGCACCUGGUGGCUGGAUUCAAGUAGCUUUCGAGAAGAUGCUGAUGGGCAUUCUAGUAAUUGGAGUCGACUGCAACUCGAUUCAAUCCAUCGAAGGUGCAUUCUCCGUGCGGGAGAGUACUAGGGCCCCCAAGUAUAAGGACGUUAUUAAGAAACUCAUGGCGGAAGGUGGAUGCGGAGCUUUUGACAUGGUGCUACUCGAUGGCUAUAAGGGUAUUAAUGUCGCGUGGGUUAGGGAGGCCAUCAAUCAGAAUGCUCUAGACUCUAGUUUUUGAUUCCGUUAAGCUUGCUACGGAGGCUUUGGCUGACAAGGGAAGUUUUUUUACCAAGGUAUUGUAAUAUGUAUAUGUUUAAUAAUAUAUCUUGUUCUUAUGUAACUAUGAACGAGGUUAUUUUGAAGCAAUUAAAUGUCACGGCUCGAACCUUCAACAAUGGCAGCUCUUCACUGUAACACAGAGAAUGCACUGAACUUAGCUGAAAUAGCUAAGAUUAUAUCACUAAACAAAGAUAAAAAAGAGAAGGGGAAUAAGAUAAAAGAGAACUUUAGAAGAAAGAGAGGAGAAGUGUUGAACGAUUUCAACCGCCACUGAAAAUAUCAUGUUACCAAAGCUUCCAGAACCAUUUGCCCCCUUUCUGCAUCUAUAGGCUCAGCUGGAAGUCGUAUUACCAAAAAUGAAAUAAAGAAAACGUGUUUCAACAAAACAUAUUACAAUUUCAUUUAAUUCAAAACGGCACCGUAUGACUUUGAAUUCCAGUUGCUCUUCUUGGCUUCUUCUUUCCUUCUUCUAGUUCUGCUUCUUUUCCCUCCCCAAUUACUCUUCACGUGACAACCCUUCACCUCACCUUGAUCUUGUCCCCAAGAUCCACAGUAGGGAAACUGUAGUUUGAUCCAAUCGGUGUCUUCCCAGGUUUCACAAUCUAGAGUAGAAUUUGACCAAUGAAUAAGCCACUGGAUGGUGGUGUUAUUUUUUUACGAGUAAUGGUCCUGGACUGUAAGAUGGAUAAUGGAUGAUAUGUUGGUAGUUUAGACCGAUUCUCAUCAGGCAAUUGAAGUACUGGCAUUGCCCUGUCACCUAACUUCUUCUUGAACAAUGAAACAUGAAAGACUGGAUGAAUUCUGGAGCUGGCAGGAAGUGCCAAUUUGUAUGCCACCGUGCCUAUCUUCUUGGUAAUCUGAUAUGGUCCAAAGUAUCUAGCUCCCAGCUUGUGAUUUAUCCUGUGUUCCACUGAUUAUUGUGUGUAAGGAUGAAGCUUGAGGAAGACCCACUCUCCUUCAUUAAAAGACCUCUCAGAACGCUUCGUGUCAGCAUAUAGUUUCAUCUUUGCUCCUGCUUGUGCUAAGUUUUCUUUCAGCUGUUGAUUUAGUUGGUACCUAUGCUGUAGUAAUUCUUCGACUGCAGCCACAUUGGACUGCUGGUAAAGAUCUAAUGAGAGCUGAGGAGGCUUGAUCCCAUAAAGAGCUUCAAAGGGAGUCAUUCAGAUAGAGGAAUGAUAGGAGGUAUUGUACCACCACUCAGCUAAUGAUAACCACUUACCCCAUUGUUUAGGAUGUUGAAAAGUCAUGCACUGUAGGUACAUUUCAAGGCACUGCUUGAGUCGUUCUGUCUGCCCAUCAAAUUGAGGAUGGUAGGUAGAACUUAAAUGCAGCUGGAUACCCAUGAGUUUAAACAAUUCUUGCCAGAAUUUGCUUGUAAAUAUCUUAUCCUUGUUAGAAAUGAUGUUCUGAGGUAUGCCUUGAAGUUUAAAAAUAGAAUCAAGGAAAUUUUUGGCAAUUGUCACGGCUGUGAAUGGAUGCGGAAGUGCCAAGAAAUGACCAUACUUUGUAAAUCUGUAGACCACCACUAAUAUAGUAUCUUUACCUCCUGAAUUAGGCAAUCCUUCAAUGAAGUCCAUACUAAUGUGGCUCCAAGCAUGUAGAGGCACAGGAAGAGGCUUUAACAAUCCAGGGUAAGGCACAUUCUCCCCUUUACACUUCUGGCAGAUUUCACACUGGAGACGUCAGUUUUGAUGUCUCGGUUCAUGCCAGGCCCGUAAAAAUGUUGCUUUGCUUUGUAGAUGCUGCCAUUAUGCCCUCCUUCUUGAGACCCAUGAAUAUUCUGAAUUAGUUUAGAUUUGAUAUUACCCCCUGAACCUAUGUAUAACCUGCCUUUAUACUUCAAAAUAUUGUUGAGGUAUAGGAAGUCUGGAUCUGCUGUUGAAUUUAAGAUGACUGACUGGAUUUUCUCCCUAGCAAAGUUGUCCUCCUUGUAGCUAUCAAUAACUCUUGUAUCCAAGUGGGAAUAAAAGUGGUGAUUCCCGCACACUCCACCUCUUUCUCAUGCCUCCUUGACAAUGCAUCAGCUACUAAGUUAUCAAUUCCUCGUUUAUACAAUCUUUCAUAACUGAGUCCCAACAAUUUAGUGAGCCAUUGCUGUUGAAGAGGGGUUGUAAUCCUCUGUUCUAAAAGAUAUUUGAGAGAUUGGUGGUCAGUCUUUAUGAUGAAGUGGUGGCCCUCUAAAUAAUGUCUCCAUUUACUAACAGCAGUGACUAAGGCUAGUAGUUCCUUUUCGUAUAUUGACAUACCCCUGUUCCUGAUUCCAAUAGCUUUGCUUAGGUAAGCUAGAGGCCUUCUGCCUUGCAUUAGCACAGCACCAAUUCCACUUUGGCAAGCAUCGGUUUCAAUGAUAAAGGGUUGAUGGAAAUCAGGUAAAGCAAGCACAGGCGUUGAACUCAUGGCUUGUUUUAAUCCUUCAAAGGCUAAAUCUCCAGCCUCUGUCCGUUGAAAAUUGUCUUUCUUAAUCAUAUCUGUUAAUGGCCUGGCUAUCACCCCGUAACUCUUGACAAACUUCCUGUAAUACCCAGUCAACCCUAGGAAGCCCCUCAAUUGUUUGAUAUUCCUAGGUUUAGGCCAUAGCUGCAUUGCUUCCACGUUGCUGGGAUCAGCAGAGACUCCUUCUUUGCUAAUAAUAUGACCUAGGUACUCAACCUUCAAUUGCCCAAAACUGCACUUGGACCUCUUGGCAUAUAGUUGAUGUUUCUAUAAUAUCCCUAUUACUGAUUCUAGAUGUUGGCAAUGAGAGGAUAGAUCAGUGCUGUACACUAAAAUAUCAUCAAAAAAUACUAAGACGUAUCUCCUCAGCUGGUCCUUGAAUACCUCAUUCAUGAGGCUUUGGAAGGUAGCGGGUGCAUUGGUGAGGCUAAAGGGCAUCACCUUGAUCUCAUACAGCCCUUGUUGUGUUUUAAAUGAAGUCUUAUGAACAUCUCUUUCAGUAACCCUUAUAUGAUGAUAACCUGCUCUAAGAUCAUUUUUCGAAAAAAACUUCGCUCCAUGAAGUUCAUCUAAUAGUUCAUCAAUAAGUGGCAUUGGGAAUUUGUCCUUGAUUGUUAAGGCAUUCAACUGCCUGUAAUCAACACAGAAUCUCCAAGUCCCAUCUUUCUUCUUGACAAGGAGUACAGGUGAGGCAAAAGGACUAUUGCUUGCUUGUAUAAUCCCAGAUUCCAGCAUUUCUUUAAUCAACUUUUCUAUCUCUGUCUUCUGAAUGAACGGACACCUGUAGGGUCUUAUUUUAAAAGGCCGGGCACCUUCUUUAAGAGGAAUGUGGUGGUCAUGUGAUCUUGGUGGAGGCAGCCCUUUUGGUUUCUUAAACACCCCCUAGAAUUGAUGGAUUACUUCCAGUAGUUUGCUAGGUACCACCUCUUUGGGUUUUUCCUCUUUAGGGGCAUAUAAUUGUCCCAUAACUCCAUAGUGAUUCUUGUCCAUUAUCCUUUCCAUCGCUUGUGCCUCUAUCAUGUCCACUGAUAAUUUUGAUACUUCAUCUCUGAACUUCACCUCAGUGUUCUGUCUCUUGAACUUCAUAACCCUCAGCAAAAUCAAAUUCAAUAGGGCCAAAUUGGUUCAUCCAAUUCACUCCCAAAACCAUGUCACUUCCUGCCAACUUAAGGGUCCUAAGCUUUUAUUGGAAUUCCCAACUUUGAAUCUUCCGUACCACUGGUUGACAAAUGGCUUUACUUUCUAGUUUAUCCCCAUUUGCUACCCUGACAGUUACUUUGUUGGACUCUUCAGUGUUGUAUUUCAACUCUCUAGCCAAUGUCUCAUCUAAAAAACUAUGAGUGCUCCCAUCGUCUAUUAAGGUGGAUAUUAUUUUUCCCCCGAUGUUUCCUAGUACCUUGAUGAACGAUUUCAACAAUACCACUGAAAAUAUCAGGUUACCAAAGCUUCCAGAACCAUUUGUCCCUUUUCUGUAUCUAUAGGCUCAGCCGGAAGUCGUAUUACCAAAAGAAAAUAAAGAAAACGUGUUUUAACAAAACAUAUUACAAUUUCAUUUAAUUUAAAACGGCACCGUAUGACUUUGAAUUCCAGUUGCUCUUAUUGGCUUCUUCUUUCCUCCUCCUGGUUCUGCUUCUUUUCCCUCCCCAAUUACUCUUCACGUGACAUUAAAAUUGACUCUAAUUCCAGACUUGGAUACUUAAUUAUAGCUUUAAAAGUUUAAUGUUAAUGGUUUAUUGUAUUUAGAACACAUAAGCACUCUAAUAAAUAUUUUAUGUUUGAAAAGGUGAUACUUGCGAAUUAGUUGAUGCAAUUUGUGUAAGCAAUUUGCAAACAUAGGAUUUGAAAGUUUUAGGUGUUUCUGGAAUGAAUUAAGCUAUUUGCAAAGUUGAAGAAAAUUUAUGGAUUUUUGGAGUUUAUUUUGUGCGCCUGCAGGUAAGGUUGUGCAACGGGUGUCAUGUUUCUUACAAGCAAACUAGUGGCUUUCAGUGUUCCUUAUGUCCAUACUUGCAAAUAUAUUGGGUUCAGUGUCAUGUUCCACAAGUGAAUUUGGGUAUCUUGGCUGAAACUUAUUCUGGAUUUGAAUUCCUUUCUAAGUUUUGUACCGUUCUGGUUCCCUGCACGCAUACAAGACAGCAACUGCUGAUGUUUACAUUUAGCUUUUGCAAUCACUAUUUUCUUGGGGUAUUAUGACUGAGGAAAUGUAUUUGUCAAUUUUUGAACCAAGAAUUGUUUCUCUUUGAUCCUCACAUAGACAUUCCCCUCUCAGGGAAACGAAGCUCUUUAGGAUUUAUUAUUUAUUAUGAAAUAUUACGUUGCACUUUUUCUGAUGUGUCUCCAUGUAGCUUCACAAAAUCACUACUCAAGUCAACCUUGUCAAGUUGGAAAUGAAUGCAUGACGUGUCUGUUGUUGCCUUGUAGGUCCUCAGAUCCGAUAUUGUAGUGGUAAACUUUUCUUAGUCAGGUAAUCUUAUUUCCUAUGAAGCGAACCCAAAAGCAUCCGUUCUGAUUGAAGGCACAUUAUCACCUUUGUAUUUGGUAUACAGCUCUUUGAAAAAGUUGAAGUGUGUAACUGAAAAGAUAACUUUAGAGGAGAAUUUUAUGCUGUCGAGUUGAAGUAUAAGGCACCUGCUAAAAUGAUCCUGAUCUUCUAUCCAUAGAGCAUCUGUUACGAGAUAAAGAGCAUCAAAAGGUAGUCCAAUCCCUCCACAUUAUCUGCAUGUUAUCUUUCUAUCUUAUAGAAUCAAUAUGUUCAGGUAGUGGAUGCAUUUAGAGUAAAGAAGCAAAAGCAAUACCGUGAUGAGUAUAUUUUCUUCUCGCUAAUAAUUCAUAAAAUCUGCAACUCUCAGCCAAAAACAUUGUUGCUUGCUUGACAUAUAGAAGAAAAUUUUAGUUUAUAUCUGAGCUCAACUGAAUAUGGUCUUUUUGCGCAUCAUGGAGUAUUGGUGUUGUGAUCACGACAUAUCAAACUAAGCUAGUGUGUAGAGUCUAGAGAAAAAUCUAGUAGAGUGAUCUUUUGCACUUUUAUCCCUUUUGCAGUCUUAUCAAUUCAUCGGGAUAUACCACAUACAUGUUUCUUAAGCUCAUACAGGACAAAUCCUUCACUCAAGCCUACUACUAUCACUAGAUUCCCAGACUGCUAUACGUGUUUAAUAAUAUGAAAUUAUAUCUUAUUGAAAUCCUUUCUACUUACUGCACUCCAACGAAACUUACCUAGACACUCUACGUUAUCUCUUUCUUUCUUUCUUUCUUUUUUUUUUUUUUUUUAUAUAAUCAAUAAAAUUCGUUUGCAAAUCAUGUUUCUUUUGUGUGUAAUUUUUCUUGAAUCUCGUGACUGGGGUUCAUAUAAAUAUAAGUUCAUGUUUUUAUAUAAAAGUAUUUACUAGGUUCACUUUUUAGGCAUGAAGAUGGUAAUGCAACUUUGAGGAAAGUCUGCUCUGUAGGAUUUUGUUUGGUCCAGCUAUUUACUUUAGAAGCUUGGUUUAGUUACUUCUAAAGCUUUUGAGAUGUAUGUAUGUUUAUAUAUUAAGGAUAAAGAUGAAGAGAUGUUGCUUCCUCUUUUGUGAAUUGCUUUCUCUUUUCUUCUAUUUAUAUUCUUAUUAUGCAAGUGUUGUUAUAGUAGCUCUUAUUGUGCUGCUUUUGUAUUUUUGAAUUUUUUUAUUCAUUUGACUCAAGCACGACCCCUAAAAUUCUUUCACAUGACAUGCACGACCCCUAAAAUUCUUUCACAUGACAUACUUCAUCAACUCUGCCUCCCUCUCAUUCCUCUGCUUAACAUCCACCAUCAUCGAUUUAGUGAUCCCUCUCCAUUCUUCUCUCAACUUCUUCAUCCUCCUCUCCUCAUGUCCCCAUAUUCAUUUCCACAUACAUCGUUGCUUCAAUACUCAUAGAUGCAAUCAUCUCCUCCAGUGUUUCAUUUGUUUAUACAAGUCCAUAGCCUCGCACCGUCCAAAGGAUCUCAUUUUUCCCUUAAAAUCAAGGGAAUGCAUGUACUUUGACUACAUCUUCAAAUGUGUGUGAUUGAUUGCCCAUUUUAGCAAUUUUAUCCUCAAAUUUUAGAAGAUCAUCCAUUGUAGAGCGCUCUUUUAGAUUUUAAUGAUAUAGGCAUAAUGAGAGAUUGAAUUUUCAAUGGAUGGUCUUAUAAGAUUUGAGGAUAAAAUUGCUACAACGAGCAAUCAAUCUCACACAUAUGAAGAUUUAGUCAAAGUACAUGCAUUCCCUUGAAUUUAAGGGAAAAAUGCGACCCUUUGGGAUGGUGCGAGGCUAAGGACAUAUAUAGACAAAAUGAAACACUGAAGGAGAUGAUUGCAUCUAUGGGUAUUGAAACAACGGUGUAUGUGGAAAUGAAUCUGGGGGUAGGAGGAGAGAAGAAUGAAGGGGGAUCACUAAAUCGAUGAUGAUGGAUGUUAGGUAGAGGGAGGCAGAGCUGAUGAGGAGGCAGCUGGACACAUAAGUAUGCCGUGAAAUAAUUUUGGGAGUUGCGCUUUAGAAAUGAGUCAAAAUGAAUAAAAAAAAUUAUGAAAGCAGCACUAUAACAACAUUUGCAUAAGAAUAAUAGAAAAGAGAAAGCAAUACAUCUUUAUCCUUAAUGUAUAAACAUGUCAAAGACUUUGGAAAUAACUAAACCAAUCUUCUUAAGUUAAUAUUUGUGCUGCACAUUUUUUGACCAGCAAUCCCACGUCCAAAGAACAAUUUAGGCUCGGUAGGAAAAUUUGGCAUGAAGAUUAACUUACCAAGGCUUUGCAGUUAUUCUCAAAGCAUUCAAUUUAUCCAAGGGAUCAUAAUCUAGUAACAUCAUUUAUGCCUUUCCACGUGCAAUACUCUUUCAGGUGACUAUCUAGAAACUUGCAGAUAUGAGAUGACUGGUUUAGGAUACAAUUCUCUAAGCACCAUGAUGAACAGCUUACUGAGCACCCUUUUCAUGCAUAAUUUUGAGACAAAGGUGCACACAUAUUUUGAAAGCAAGGUAAAUACACCAGAUCACCACCAAGUUUGAAUCGCUUCUAUGUAAGCUAUAAGUCUAGACACAGCUGUAAUUUGAAUAGUAUUUUCAUCUUUAUUCACUUAUGUCUCUUUUCAUUGAACAUUUAGUUAGUUUUCAUCUCGAUGGAAGCAUAAUAUUUCAAGUCGACAAAUUUGCCACCUC
rnacentral:lncRNA from 1 species